ensembl:piRNA 21ur-3783 ncRNA
CUAGUCAUAUUCUGCGCAAUU